rnacentral:lncRNA from 1 species
AUUCUGUGCAUCACCUUCCCUCUGCUCCGUGUGCAUUGUCAGGGCGGAUUGUCUCAAAGGAGCAGGGAAGAAACCUGUGGGGAUAGAGAUUGUUCGGAGGCAAUGUCAGGAGCAACACCUUGGCUCUGCUGCACUUCAGUAGUCUCCAGCUAUGUGAAGGGCCUGAUCCAGCUUGCAGGGACUGCCCCUGGAGAGGAAGAGGAGGAAGCAAGAUACAAUAGCUGUGGUUUCUGAGAAACUUUGCAAGGAAAUGAAACAAUAAUAGAGCAGAAGAUCAACAGUUCCAGGAACUGUCCCACAGAGAGAGGCAGUGAACACAUUGCAGGAUGGAUAUGAACGGCAUCAUCUCUGCCUCCUGCUGCUUGCAGCCCACCUUCUCUCCUGUGCUGAAGAAACCCAUGUAGAAGGACAC